rnacentral:rRNA from 1 species
GGGGAAUCUUGGACAAUGGGCGCAAGCCUGAUCCAGCCAUGCCGCGUGGAUGAUGAAGGCCUUAGGGUUGUAAAAUCCUUUCAGCGGGGACGAUAAUGACGGUACCCGCAGAAGAAGCCCCGGCUAACUUCGUGCCAGCAGCCGCGGUAAUACGAAGGGGGCUAGCGUUGUUCGGAUUUACUGGGCGUAAAGCGCGUGUAGGCGGGUCGUUAAGUUGGGGGUGAAAUCCCGAGGCUCAACCUCGGAACUGCCUUCAAAACUGGCGACCUGGAGCAAGAUAGAGGCAAGUGGAAUUGCGAGUGUAGAGGUGAAAUUCGUAGAUAUUCGCAGGAACACCAGUGGCGAAGGCGACUUGCUGGAUCUUUGCUGACGCUGAGACGCGAAAGCGUGGGGAGCAAAC